GACGAACGCUGGCGGCGUGCUUAACACAUGCAAGUCGAACGAUGAAGCCGGAGCUUGCUCUGGUGAAUUAGUGGCGAACGGGUGAGUAACACGUGAGUAACCUGCCCUUGACUCUGGGAUAACUGCGGGAAACUGUAGCUAAUACCGGAUACGACCCUCGGAGGCAUCUCCUGGGGGUGGAAAGAAUUUCGGUCAAGGAUGGACUCGCGGCCUAUCAGCUAGUUGGUGAGGUAAAGGCUCACCAAGGCGACGACGGGUAGCCGGCCUGAGAGGGUAACCGGGCACACUGGGACUGAGACACGGCCCAGACUCCUACGGGAGGCAGCAGUGGGGAAUAUUGCACAAUGGGCGGAAGCCUGAUGCAGCAACGCCGCGUGAGGGAUGACGGCCUUCGGGUUGUAAACCUCUUUUAGCAGGGAAGAAGCGAAAGUGACGGUACCUGCAGAAAAAGCACCGGCUAACUACGUGCCAGCCGCCGCGGUAA
rnacentral:rRNA from 1 species